UGAUUGAAGGUAAAGACUAGGCAACUACGUCAUUCUUCCAACCUGAGAAGGUUCUAGAAUCUAGGCUCAAGACCAGCAAUGGAGCAGAAGACUCAAGUUCCAGCCUUCAUCCAUUCAUCGGUGUUGUUUUCUGGGUUUGAGGUUCCACGUUCAGGAAACAAGAGUGUUUAUGCACUGGGUUGCCAUGCUCACUGAAACAUCUUCCCCAAACAAUGAAAUGUCAACUCAGUCCAACCACUAGAUCUUAGCAACACCUCUACAGGAAAUCCUGGGGUCAGAAGAACAUGGUAGAUGCCAUCACAGGUGCACGAUCAACAAAUCUAAACCGUGAGAACUAGUGCAGGGCAAAGGGUUCACUUUCUUCAUUCAACAAAUAAAUGGCAUGGAAAUGGGACCUGAAUGUGGAUUAGGGGUUUAAGAGGCUUGGCCAAAUGUGAUGUUUAAACGAUUUCUAUUCCAGUUUGUAUAAACCAACUGUAAAAAUACAUGAUGGAGCCAACCAGAUACCUUAAAAGAGGUUGGCUCCUCAAUUGCUAUUGAAAGUCAUUCCAUUUUCUUUAGGGGUAACUCUGUGUAUAUGUCAGGGUUCUCUAGAGUUACAAAACUGAUAGGAUGAAUGUAUGAUUGUCAGAGUGGCUAUCAGGAUGUGGUCUGAGUAGUCCAACAAUGGAUGGCUCUUGAUGGAAAGGCCAAGGAUCUGGUAUUUGUUUGGUUCAUGAGACUGCGUGUCUCAGUAGCCUCAGUAUGGUGCUGGAGUCCCUGGAAGGCACUAGAGAGCUUCCGGUCUUCUGUCCACAUUGGGAUCUUGAAGAUGUAGUUCUAACAUCAGUGAAGAAAUGGCUCAGGAACAGGACAGAUGAACUUGAGGGUGAGGGCAAACAUGCCAAAAAGCAAACGCUUCCUUCAUCCAUGCCCUUUUAUGUGGGCUGCUAUCAAAAGGUGUUGAUCAGAUUUGGGGUGAGUCUUCUGACUCAAGUGACCCAGAUUUAGAGAGUCUUCCCACCUCAAAUGAUCCAUUCAAGAAAUCUCUCACAGGUUUACCACCUUGGUUGGAUUUUAGUUGGUUACAGAUGUGGUCAAAUUGACAACCAAGAUUAACCAUCACACACUAUAUUGCUGUUACCAUAGUCCUUUCUGGGAUAUAUAUUAUUGUGUAUAUAAUGGGAUUUUAUAAUGCACAAUAAUACUUUACUUCAAAAUAGUCCAAUAGAAGGAAGAGUAGACAAGACUGACUUGUGAUGAUAAUGAUUGAAACUAGUAGAUUAAAUUCACGGGAAUUUAUUGCAAUGUUUUAUUUUUAUUUUUUCCUUCCUUCCUUCCUUCCUUCCUUCCUUCCUUUCUUCCUUCCUUUCCUUCUUUCUCUUGAGUUAGGUCUCAUGUUGCCCAGGCUAGCCUCCAUCUCUGGAUGUGUGGAAGGAUGAUCUUAAAUUUCAGAUCCUCCCACUUCUACCUCUCGAGUGUUGGAGUUACAGCCAUGUACUGCCAUAGUUGGUUACACAGUGAUGGGGAAUCAAACCAGAGCCUGAUGCACGCUGGAUAUGCACUCUACAGCCAAGGUGAAGUUAAAAUGAAGCACUUAGGGUAGAUCCUAGUCCAGGGCCUUGGGAAUCCAGACAAACACAAAAGGGUGAAGACACAGAAAUCAGACAAGUAAGUACAAGGCAAGGAGAAAGUUCUGGAACAGAUCAUCACUCUCAAGCCUCAGACGUGCACAGACUCUCAGCUUUCCAGCAUCUAUCACCCCCAAAAUGGGAAACUUCUGCCCUUGGCUGCACUUUGUUGCAACAGACCUGGCAGAAGUCCAAACAAGACAAAAAGCUGAUUCUGCAGCCUACCCCUGCCUGCCAGCUGAUCGGCCUUGUUCAAGCUGGAGAACCUCUGGAGAGUCCAGCUCUGUAUGGGGUUCUUUCUUCCGAGCAAACCCUUAAGCUGUGGGAGGGCUGGAUCUGUGUGAUCUGACCUGUACCUGUCCCGGGCUUCCUUGCAGCUCCCCUGAGACAGCUUUUCCCUGUGAAGCUAGCCAGCAACUCCCAUCAGUAGCAGGCAAGAAUCCCAGGACUCACUCGACGAACCAGCCUCGUCUGGCUGGAUUCUUGAAGAACAUAUGGAGUCACCCUAUUCCCCUAUAGCAGCUUCAACUCUCAGGUUCUCUUUCUUGUAGCCCAUCUCCUGGGUCCUCGGUGGUCCCUGGGGGUCCCCGGCAAGAGGCAGGUUGUUUAGGCCAGCCAGAUACCACUUAAAGAGACCCAAUUCAAAACAUAACCGUGUGCGACUCAACUUACGGUCAGGCUCUGAAUCUACAAGAAUUUCAUAAACAAGUAACAUUUAAAAAAAUGGUUAUCGAUGAAGGAAAAAAAGAACCUGAAGAAAUCAGAUGAUGUGAGGGAGGUUUAGGCAAGACCUUUCAGGUACAGUGUGUUCUAAAAUUUGACUUUUGAAUUGUAGAAAUAAAUGACCUAUUAAAAUAAAAUUUUAAUUUAAAAUGUGCUCUCUACUUAAGAGGGUACCCGAGUGUGUGUGUGUGUGUGUGUGUGUGUGUGUGUGUGUGUUUUUGCAUUGGAAACACACCCAGUGUAAUUUGUAAAAUAAAUACAUAAUAAAUAGGUUAAAUGUUUAUUUUGACUUAUGUUUUCAAAUGCCAGUUGUUUAAUUUACCAUGAAGGAUUGCUGGCAGACCCAUCAUCACUGGUACCGAAUACGGCAUUCAGACCUUGACCUAGGCUGGCCUUCCCAGGAAACCAGCUCUGUGGCCUUGCCCUCUUCACUCUUCCCAUCAAUACCACAGGCUGACUUCUCCUGUUGACAGGCGCAUGGUCAACACA
rnacentral:lncRNA from 1 species